rnacentral:rRNA from 1 species
AACGUACGCUGGCGGCACGCCUAACACAUGCAAGUCGAACGCAGUAGCAAUACUGAGUGGCAGACGGGUGAGUAACAUGUGGGAAUCUGCCUUGUGGUUCAGGACAACAUUGGGAAACCGAUGCUAAUACUGGAUAAGCCCUUACGGGGAAAGUUUUAAUGCCAUAAGAUGAGCCCGCAUUUGAUUAGUUAGUUGGUGAGGUAAUGGCUCACCAAGACAAUGAGCAAUAGCUGAUCUGAGAGGAUGAUCAGCCACACUGGGACUGAGACACGGCCCAGACUCCUACGGGAGGCAGCAGUGGGGAAUCGUUCACAAUGGAGGAAACUGUGAUGCAGCGAUGCCGCGUGAGUGAAGAGGGCCUUUGGGUUGUAAAGCUCUUUUGUAGGGGAAGAUAAUGACUGUACCCUAAGAAUAAGGUCCGGCUAACUUCGUGCCAGCCGCCGCAGUAA